GGCCGGGUCCCGUACAAUAGCAGCCCGAGCCAAUCCCGCCAGGUCCGGAAGGAAGCAACGGUAACUUGAGCUCUAUGUGAUACGGGGUGCCUGGCCACU
rnacentral:SRP_RNA from 2 species